AGGUCCGACAGCUGAUAAAAAAUACUUCGCUGAUUUUAGAGCAGCGAAAGAGAGGAUUACCAAGAAGGCGGAUAUGGACUGUCGAGUCACAGAGCCAUCUUCCCAUUACUUCAGAAAGUUAGAGGAGGCAUUUGCUCUACAUGACGAGGAGGUAUAGAUUUAAGCUUCUAUUCAAGCGAGCCUGAAUGAUCAGCGGCAGCAAGAUGAGGUGGCCAGUCAUAGAGCUCGAUU
rnacentral:lncRNA from 1 species